CCUUCAGCAUAAUUUUAGUUAGAUCAAUACCUAUUCAAUUUCAACAAUUAAAAUGUAAAGACAGUGAUUGGCUGAUGAAACUUCUCAGAUAAUCCUUGAAUCAUCAAAAGUAAUGCGUGAUUAGCUUUUUCUGUACUUUUAGUAUUCAACUCGUCACCAUAAACUUCCAAACCAUGGUAUGUUAGGUUUCUAGUGUUAACUGGUAUACUCUCUCUCAAAGAUAUUUCAUCAAACACCAAUACAACUUUUUCUUGAUUCUCUGUUUUAUUCUCAAAUUUUUUUUUUAAUAGUUUGAAGAAAUUAUUGUCAAAACCACAUCCAAUCUUAACUGCUUACAAGUGACGUCUCAACGUUGUUACACAUGGCAAUGGCAAGAUAUUUUGUCCACGAAGAAAUGAAUAACCGCUUAGAGAUCUAUGAAGUAUUCUAGUAUUUGUAAAUUAUUAAAAACUUGAAUAUUAUACUA